UUUUGACCUCGGAUCAGGUAGGGAUACCCGCUGAACUUAAGCAUAUCAAUAAGCGGAGGAAAAGAAACCAACAGGGAUUGCCCUAGUAACGGCGAGUGAAGCGGCAACAGCUCAAAUUUGAAAUCUGGCUCUUUUAGAGUCCGAGUUGUAAUUUGCAGAGGGCGCUUUGGCUUUGGCAGCGGUCCAAGUUCCUUGGAACAGGACGUCACAGAGGGUGAGAAUCCCGUACGUGGUCGCUGGCUAUUGCCGUGUAAAGCCCCUUCGACGAGUCGAGUUGUUUGGGAAUGCAGCUCUAAAUGGGAGGUACAUUUCUUCUAAAGCUAAAUAUUGGCCAGANACCGAUAGCGCACAAGUANAGUGAUCGAAAGAUGAAAAGCACUUUGGAAAGAGAGUC
rnacentral:rRNA from 1 species